rnacentral:lncRNA from 1 species
AUGGCAGCUGAGCCAUGGGGUGGCCUGUGGGAAGAAAGAAGCAAGCGUCUCUUCAGAGGCAGCAGGUUGGAGAGGCAUCUCCCAGCAGUACAUCAGCUAUGGCUUGGUAGCACCAGACAUCCCUGGGGGUUGAGACACUGCUUACCCUGUCUUAAUGCAGGGAUUUGUCAUAGUCAGCGGCCCGUGCAGAUAGAAGUGGGAGCAUCCUUCUCUGUGAGAAGCCCGGGUUCAGGCUGAUUAUCAGCAUGUUAGUUACGACGUGUUUGUGUUUUUCAAGUGUCUUGUCUUAUCCGGUAGGAAAUUAUAGCUUCGGCUCUAGUCUGGUGAGUCUAGGAGUCACAGCCUGAGGAAGAACCUUUCAAAUCCAGGAUCUGAAACUAUAAAACAUCUGGGAUGGUUACUGCUGAGUUAAUGGCCCAGUGAAGAAACAAAUCACUGUGUGCCACUUCAUGCUUCUCAUCUGCCUGAUCUCUGUUUUUCCCCGGCAGUCAGGCUGCCCUCACUAAUCAAAUGCAAUCCAAUAUAAUCAAAUGCAAUGCAAUAGUGUCCUUUUCCUUCGCAGGCCGGGUUUAUUUUUCAUCCCAUGCUACAAGGGGGCACAUGGACAUGAGGCUGAAUUCAUUGCUCUCCAUCUGGGUCAGCAAGAAAUGACUCAGAUCUUUUCCUAGAUCAAUGAAUCGCCAUCACGUCCCCGCAACCUUGCACUCCCUGCUAGAGACAAGAAAAAUCAUCCUUUGUCUUCUGUGUGGCGCUGGCACUGUGGCUGAAAAACGCUCCCCUUUUUAUGCCUGCUUAUUUUAUGGCAUGGUGCAUUUUUCUCCAUGGGCUGUGACGGCCCUCUCGUUAAUCUAAUGAGUGCCCGCCCGUGAACCGCCAGCCCGGAGCGCUCCCUGCUAGGUUUGACCCCAGUGAAGGUGGGAUAGAGGGGCUGGUGAUUCUGGGAUGGUGUCCAGCAGGAACACCGUGCUUCUCUGAGAGCUGAACACUCGGAUAAAUAAGUGAAUCCAUCGAGGAUUAGCCUGGUUAUUUACCAGCCUGUCUUUGAAACAUGUGAAGCAUUUCUUCUUUGGUCUGCAAGUAGAGCAGUGAUUCUCAGUUAAAGGUAAAAGAGGAGGGGAAAGAAUCGGGAAAUUGGCAUUGGGCUGCUUUUAGGCAGGUCUCUGAAAAACGUCAAAGAAAAGCACUUUGUCAUUUUCCAGUCGAUGAUGUUGCUUCCAAGGCUAUUAAUUGCUGAAUGUUGAAUGCCCUGCUAAAUACACCCACCCCACAGAUGAGGCAGCUAAUGAAACAAACAGAUGGCGAUCCGAAUAGAGUAAAAGUACAUAAUAAAGAUGUGCUUUGAAAUAGCCA